rnacentral:rRNA from 1 species
CUAUACGGAGUUACAAAGGACGACAUUAGACGAAUCAUCUGGAAAGAUGAAUCAAAGAAGGUAAUAAUCCUGUAGUCGAAAAUGUUGUCUCUCUUGAGUGGAUCCUGAGUACGACGGAGCACGUGAAAUUCCGUCGGAAUCUGGGAGGACCAUCUCCUAAGGCUAAAUACUCUCUAGUGACCGAUAGUGAACCAGUACCGUGAGGGAAAGGUGAAAAGCACCCCGGAAGGGGAGUGAAAUAGAACCUGAAACCGUGUGCUUACAAGUAGUCAGAGCCCGUUAAUGGGUGAUGGCGUGCCUUUUGUAGAAUGAACCGGCGAGUUACGAUUUGAUGCAAGGUUAAGCAGUAAAUGUGGAGCCGUAGCGAAAGCGAGUCUGAAUAGGGCGUUUAGUAUUUGGUCGUAGACCCGAAACCAGGUGAUCUACCCUUGGUCAGGUUGAAGUUCAGGUAACACUGAAUGGAGGACCGAACCGACUUACGUUGAAAAGUGAGCGGAUGAACUGAGGGUAGCGGAGAAAUUCCAAUCGAACCUGGAGAUAGCUGGUUCUCUCCGAAAUAGCUUUAGGGCUAGCCUCAAGUGAUGAUUAUUGGAGGUAGAGCACUGUUUGGACGAGGGGCCCCUCUCGGGUUACCGAAUUCAGACAAACUCCGAAUGCCAAUUAAUUUAACUUGGGAGUCAGAACAUGGGUGAUAAGGUCCGUGUUCGAAAGGGAAACAGCCCAGACCACCAGCUAAGGUCCCAAAAUAUAUGUUAAGUGGAAAAGGAUGUGGCGUUGCCCAGACAACUAGGAUGUUGGCUUAGAAGCAGCCAUCAUUUAAAGAGUGCGUAAUAGCUCACUAGUCGAGUGACACUGCGCCGAAAAUGUACCGGGGCUAAACAUAUUACCGAAGCUGUGGAUUGUCCUUUGGACAAUGGUAGGAGAGCGUUCUAAGGGCGUUGAAGCAUGAUCGUAAGGACAUGUGGAGCGCUUAGAAGUGAGAAUGCCGGUGUGAGUAGCGAAAGACGGGUGAGAAUCCCGUCCACCGAUUGACUAAGGUUUCCAGAGGAAGGCUCGUCCGCUCUGGGUUAGUCGGGUCCUAAGCUGAGGCCGACAGGCGUAGGCGAUGGAUAACAGGUUGAUAUUCCUGUACCACCUAUAAUCGUUUUAAUCGAUGGGGGGACGCAGUAGGAUAG